rnacentral:rRNA from 1 species
UACGAAGGGGACUAGCGUUGUUCGGAAUCACUGGGCGUAAAGCGCACGUAGGCGGAUAUGUCGUUCAGGGGUGAAAUCCCGGGGCUCAACCUCGGAACUGCCUUUGAUACAGCAUGUCUUGAGUCCGAUAGAGGUGGGUGGAAUUCCUAGUGUAGAGGUGAAAUUCGUAGAUAUUAGGAAGAACACCGGUGGCGAAGGCGGCCCACUGGAUCGGUACUGACGCUGAGGUGCGAAAGCGUGGGGAGCGAACAGG